AGCAAGUGGCGGAGAAAACUAUCUCAUAGCACAUAACAGAGCCAGCACUUGUCAACUUUUUGGAUGAUCCAAACUAGUACCGUUCUUCAUUGUAAUCUUUCAAAAUAUUUCAUUUUCUUAGCUUUUCACAAGAUUGCAACAUUUUGCAGUUCAGUCUCCAGAGAAUUUUACUAAUUUAUCUUUCUACUCUUACAACAUAAAUACUGAUUCCUGCAUUUCUGAAGACUAUCUCAAGAUCUAGACUACUAUGGAAGAAGUUCUAGUGAGCUUGGAUUCUGGUUGUGACAUGUCAUCAGAGUAAGAAUGGAUUGGCUACUAUUCCCUGGGAUAUAAAUACAUUCAACAGGAUAGCAAAGUUUGAGAAGCCAGCACUAACCAAGUUAAGUGACUCUAGCCAGUACCUUUUCUUCUUGUUAUGUUUCAAAAUACUUCAUUUUCC
rnacentral:lncRNA from 1 species